rnacentral:rRNA from 1 species
AACGCGAAGAACCUUACCUACCCUUGACAAUCCUACGAAGGAAGCAGAGAUGCUUUUGUGCCGAAAGGAACGUAGAGACAGGUGCUGCAUGGCUGUCGUCAGCUCGUGUUGUGAGAUGUUGGGUUAAGUCCCGUAACGAGCGCAACCCUUAUCCUUAGUUACCAACACGUUAUGGUGGGGACUCUAAGGAGACUGCUGGUGAAGAACCGGAGGAAGGCGGGGACGAGGUCAAGUCAUCAUGGCCCUUAUGGGUAGGGCAACACACGUGCUACAAUGGGGCGUACAGAGGGAAGCCAACUCGCGAGAGGGAGCCGAUCCCAGAAAGCGCCUCUUAGUCCGGAUUGGAGUCUGCAACUCGACUCCAUGAAGAUGGAAUCGCUAGUAAUCGCGAAUCAGAAUGUCGCGGUGAAUACGUUCCCGGGCCUUGUACACACCGUAGUAC